AGGUAUGACACAUGUUUUUGUUUGGGAUCAUUCGUAGUUUGAUCGCCUCUUCUGUUUGUGUCCUAUGUUGUCAAAAAAGUUGAAUGUUUUCUAAGAUUGGUCUCAUAUAACAAUAAUUAGUGGCUUUGUCCAUAUUGAGGGAGUGGGAAUCCAGCAACAUGCAUGAUAGCAGCUUUAAACAAACGUUUGAACAGUAAGAACACA
rnacentral:lncRNA from 1 species